UUAGUUAAUUCUCGCGAGUAUUUAGACAUCACGGUUUCCAGAGUUUGGGGGGCUAUCGGCGGGCGCGGGCCAGGGAUGGGGAUCCCCGGCGGCCCGGUCAGGGGCGGGCCCACCGAAGCAACGUGGUAGAACAGACAGGGGUUGGAGGUGGGGCCCAGAGGACCCUAACUCGGUAAUGAUCCUUCCGCAGGUUCACCUACGGAAA
rnacentral:misc_RNA from 1 species